rnacentral:snRNA from 1 species
GGAUGUGAGGUCAUCUGGCUGCGACACCUGUCACCCCAUAGAUGGCCAGGGUUGAUUCGGCUGAUCUGGCUGGCUAGGCGGGUGUCCCCUUCUUCCCUCACCGCUGCAUGUGCGUCCCUUCCGAUGCUGCGGCUUGGUUGAAGAGGAUGGCUUUCCCCAAAUAGAGAAGGACCGUUCUUCAGUCAAGGGUAUACAAGUAGCUGUGCUCCCCUGCUAGAACCUCCAAACAAGCUCUCAAAAAUUGGGCUGGGGACACAGCACAGAUAUCACACUG